rnacentral:rRNA from 1 species
GUGGGGAAUAUUGGACAAUGGGCGCAAGCCUGAUCCAGCCAUGCCGCGUGAGUGAUGAAGGGCCUUAGGGUUGUAAAGCUCUUUCGCCGGUGAAGAUAAUGACGGUAACCGGAGAAGAAGCCCCGGCUAACUUCGUGCCAGCAGCCGCGGUAAUACGAAGGGGGCUAGCGUUGCUCGGAAUCACUGGGCGUAAAGCGCACGUAGGCGGAUCGUUAAGUCAGGGGUGAAAUCCUGGAGCUCAACUCCAGAACUGCCCUUGAUACUGGCGAUCUCGAGUUCGAGAGAGGUUGGUGGAACUCCGAGUGUAGAGGUGAAAUUCGUAGAUAUUCGGAAGAACACCAGUGGCGAAGGCGGCCAACUGGCUCGAUACUGACGCUGAGGUGCGAAAGCGUGGGGAGCAAAACAGGAUUAGAUACCCUGGUAGUCCACGCCGUAAAACGAUGGAUGCUAGCCGUUGGGGGGUUUUGACCUCUCAGUGGCGCAGCUAACGCCUUAAAGCAUCCCGCCUGGGGGAGUACGGUCGCAAGAUUAAAAACUCAAAAGGAAUCGACGGGGGUCAUAGCUGUUUUCCU